AACGAACGCUGGCGGCGCGCCUAACACAUGCAAGUCGAACGGCAGCGGACCUUCGGGUGCCGGCGAGUGGCGAACGGGUGAGUAAUAUAUCGGAACGUACCUUUCAGUGGGGGAUAACGUAGCGAAAGUUACGCUAAUACCGCAUAUUCUGUGAGCAGGAAAGCAGGGGAUCGCAAGACCUUGCGCUGAUUGAGCGGCCGAUAUCAGAUUAGCUAGUUGGUGAGGUAAAGGCUCACCAAGGCGACGAUCUGUAGCGGGUCUGAGAGGACGAUCAGCCACACUGGGACUGAGACACGGCCCAGACUCCUACGGGAGGCAGCAGUGGGGAAUAUUGGACAAUGGGCGAAAGCCUGAUCCAGCAAUGCCGCGUGUGUGAAGAAGGCCUGAGGGUUGUAAAGCACUUUCAAUCGUGAAGAAAAGUUAGCAGGCUAA
rnacentral:rRNA from 1 species